UGGGGAAUUUUGGACAAUGGGCGCAAGCCUGAUCCGGCCAUGCCGCGUGUCUGAAGAAGGCCUUCGGGUUGUAAAGGACUUUUGUCAGGGAAGAAAAGGAUAGGGUUAAUACCCCUGUCUGAUGACGGUACCUGAAGAAUAAGCACCGGCUAACUACGUGCCAGCAGCCGCGGUAAUACGUAGGGUGCGAGCGUUAAUCGGAAUUACUGGGCGUAAAGCGGGCGCAGACGGUUACUUAAGCAGGAUGUGAAAUCCCCGGGCUCAACCUGGGAACUGCGUUCUGAACUGGGUGACUAGAGUGUGUCAGAGGGAGGUAGAAUUCCACGUGUAGCAGUGAAAUGCGUAGAGAUGUGGAGGAAUACCGAUGGCGAAGGCAGCCUCCUGGGAUAACACUGACGUUCAUGCCCGAAAGCGUGGGUAGCAAACAGGAUUAGAUACCCUGGUAGUCCACGCCCUAAACGAUGUCGAUUAGCUGUUGGGCAGCUUGACUGCUUAGUAGCGAAGCUAACGCGUGAAAUCGACCGCCUGGGGAGUACGGUCGCAAGAUUA
rnacentral:rRNA from 1 species